rnacentral:rRNA from 1 species
AAGGAUCAUUAUUGAAUACACACUGGAUUGUUGCUGGCUAGAUUCAUUUCUAGCAUCGUGCACAUCUAUCUUCCACACACACACUUGUGAACUUAUUGUAGAUCGCAAGAUCUAUGUCUUUAAUUCAUCACAUAUCCAUCGUAUGUCUACAGAAUGUUACAAAUAUAAUACAACUUUCAGCAAUGGAUCUCUUGGUUCUCGCAUCGAUGAAGAACGCAGCGAAUUGCGAUACGUAAUGUGAAUUGCAGAUUUUCAGUGAAUCAUCGAAUCUUUGAACGCACCUUGCGCCCCUUGGUAUUCCGAGGGGCAUGCCUGUUUGAGUGUCAUUUAAUUAUCAACCAAUUUAGUCUUUGAUUAGACYUUUUUKGGAUUGGAGUUGGGAAUUGCUGGUCUUAACAAAGGAUCAGCUGUCCUUAAAUGCAGUAGCAAGUGAAAGUGAUUUUACGUGGCACGGCCUUUGACGUGAUAAUGAUCGUUGUGGGCUUGGAAGCGUUUAAUUAAGCUAGUAGUUUGCUUUAAUUAUAUAACGAGUGAAUUUCUAUGUGCAUAUGGCUGGAAAGCAUUAGUAAUGGAAGCUUGAGCGGAAAGUAAGCUAUGUUGUAAAAGGCAUAGUAAAUGUGGAAGCUUGAGUGAAAGUGAGAAUGUGUAGUAGGCUGGAAGGCAUAGCAUUGAAGCUAGUUAAACAAGGAAUUGAAAAAUAACCUGUGGAAUAUUUCUAUGUGCAUACGGCUGGAGAAAGCAUUAGUAAUGGAAGCUCUUAGCGUAAAGUGAACUCAUGGGUUCCAUGAUAGUAAUGAAAAGCUUUGAGUGAAAGUGAGGAUGUGUAGUAGGCUGGAAGCAUAGUUAUUGAGAAACUAGUGAAAAAGUAAAUUCCGACUUGAAAGUUGACCUCAAAUCAGGUAGGACUACCCGCUGAACUUAAGCAUAUCAAUAAGCGGAGGAAAAGAAACUAACAAGGAUUCCCCUAGUAACUGCGAGUGAAGCGGGAAAAGCUCAAAUUUUGAAUCUGGCAGUC